rnacentral:rRNA from 1 species
CUUUGCCAGCUGCUUCAGGAGCUUUCCUGCCCUGUUGACCGUGCCACGUUGGUCUACUGUGACAACGUCUCGGCGGUCUACCUCUCCGCUAACCCGGUACAUCAUCGCCGGACCAAGCAUAUUGAGUUGGAUAUUCACUUUGUUCGGGAACAGGUGGCUCUUGGCCAUAUUCGUGUUUUACAUGUCCCUACUUCCCAACAAUUUGCAGAUAUCAUGACCAAGGGCUUGCCUACGGCGUUUUUUGAGGAGUUCCGGUCCAGUCUUUGCGUCAGCCGCGGUGCCGCUUCGACCGCGGGGGGUGUUGAGUAUGUUAUUUGUGCAUGUAUAUUGACUAGGCCCACCUCUCUAGUUUGUUGUAUAGAUUGA